CAGAGGUGCCAAGCGUUAGGCGGAAUCACUGGGCUUAAAGCGCGUGUAGGUGGCGGCCUAAGUACCUUGUGAAAUCCUGCGGCUCAACCGCAGAACUGCUUGGUAUACUGGGUCGCUUGAGCCAUCCAGGGGCAACUGGAACAAGCGGUGGAGCGGUGAAAUGCGUAGAUAUCGCUUGGAACGCCAAAGGUGAAAACAGGUUGCUGGGGAUGAGCUGACACUGAGACGCGAAAGCCAGGGGAGCGAACGGGAUUAGAUACCCCGGUAGUCCUGGCCCUAAACGAUGUCCACUAGAUCAUGGGACCUUUGACGGGUUUCAUGGUCGAAGCAAAAGUGCUAAGUGGACCGCCUGGGAAGUACGGUCGCAAGGCUG
rnacentral:rRNA from 1 species